GUGGGUUUUUUUACAUUUUUUUUUCAUAUUUAGUGUUAUGUUAGGCAUAUAUAUAUAUAUGCCUAACAUAACACUAAAUAUGAAAAAAAAAAAAUAUAUA